UCUGUCUUCCUGAUGCUGGGGUAAGGUUUUAAUAGAAGCGUCGAGCACACAGCAGGCAGAACUAGUGACUGCACGGUUUCUGCCCUGGUGCCCCUACCUGCAGCAAGGGGAGCAAGGAGCGGGAGCCCCUGAGAUGGCCCUCAAUCUUCAGAGGGGGCUUUACUCCUUCCAGGGUGGAAAACAGGCUGCAUCCUGAGACUGUCUUGAGCACAUGUCCUUGGGGGGACAGUGAAAGUGAGGCGGGAGAAAGGCAGACCGGAUAGCUCCGUCGUCACUUGCAGAGACCCCUGGCCAGAGCUGAGGAGGGAGAGACAUGGAGACCAUGGGCAGCUGAACUUUCCUCCUGGUGAAAACAAAGCAAAAUGAAAGUGAAGUCUGGUGAAGCUAAAAGGAAACAUGAAACGCGGAUUGGAGAGCUUUGGCAGCAGGGAGGAGCGCACAUCCAGAAUGGCGUGUGGUAGGAGGCCCUCAGAGGGCCAGGCACAGAAAGCGAAGGGAGACCGGGAUCCUUUGUGCUGGGUGGUCAGGGGUCACCAUGUGGGAGGUGGAACUUGAGCUGAUCCUUGAGGGCCAAGUCUGGAAGACAG
rnacentral:lncRNA from 1 species